rnacentral:lncRNA from 1 species
GAUCCACAGUUACGUGGGAGGGAAGAGAUGCACUGCUUUAGCACUGCAUGUUGGGAAAGGCAUUCAACCUGCACCUGGUCACCUCAACACAUCAGACAUACGCAAAGAUUUAGACUGUAUGUCCGUCAGUGUCGUUCUCGCUCACCUUUGAAGCUUCUGCACUCACUGGAUAACACCUAUGGCAUUCACCAAUUAGGGAUCUGCCUACAGGAAGGAGGAAGACAAGGCCCUUUUUCAGGGCUCUGACCUUCAGAGAGAAAUGGAAAGAUGAGGGUCAGCUACCUAUGUACCUGCAUAAAGGAGAUAAAUCAAAUUCUCUGCUGCAGAGGGAACACACGCAGGGUGUCCUCCAUAUGUGAGCAAGGAGAGGUUGAGACAAAAGCACUAUGGUGCAUACACCUUUCACCCGGCAGCCUAACAAAUGACACAUUCUGGAAAUUUAAAGCCUCUGUGAUUUUAUCUACAGGAAACUUUUUUUUUUUCCUCCCUCCCCUAUUCAUUUCUGAAUGGAAGUGAAAGAAAAAAGAACCAGGGUAUUUGCCCAUCUGCAGUAAGGACCAAACUUACGGCUGAUUUUAUAAGGUGCAAGGCUCUACUGAAGGAAACAUUCAACUGGUUAAGCCAUAUAUGCAGAGUGCCUGGAAACCACUGUUACUUCUUAGGGAAAUAAUUAUUAAUACAAAAAUAAUUAUUAAUACAGAUAACAAUAUAAAAUAAUAUACAAAUGUGUUGAACGAGAACAGUGCACACUGCUGACAGUGGAAGGUGGCCAUGUGGAACAUGCUGCAUUUGCCUGCACUGAGCCAACAGGACAGUAAGAGCCAGAAACACCAUUCUUGCUUCUAACACCAUCCUGCUAUUUUAAGCUAGCCAGACAAAAAUAAUUCAUGUGAGAAUUUUAAAAAUGGCUUUCUAAAGAAAGAGAUUAUUUUUUCCCUCUGCUUAAUUGAUUUUACUCUCACUUUCCCUUCUGUUUCCUCUCCUUGAAAAAGAAGUGCCACAGGCAUUAGAGGAGGUAUUUUAAUACCAAAAUUAUCCUAGAAAAUAAGUUUAAUCACACACCCCAACGUUUUCAGAAAGGAGGAUGUAAAAUAUGGCAUAUUUUGACACUUACAAAGAAGAAAUGCCUUGAGCUGGAGUGGCUGGAAACUUUUCUUGAGAAUCUCCUGUUUUGUCCUUUUAUUUCACAUAAUUUUUGAGUUUCAUAUGACUUUUAGAUGGCCUCUUCUUCCUAUGUUGCAACAGUUUAUAUAUCAGGUUAAGUACCCCACAAACCAGUUCAGCCACAGAACAGCGCUGCAGGUUCAGCCUCAGUCACAGGAUGAUGCUGAGGAGUAGGAGGAUUCCUUGAUAUCCAAGCACUGCUGCUUUGCUGUGUUCUCCCACAGUUCAUUCGUGUCACAGACAGUGAACAGGAAGGUUCCUUCAUCCUAUGACAGUGGGAUAAAACCCACUCUGCAGACACAGGGCAAAAACACGAGCCUGACUUCUAAGCCUCAUUUCAAUGCAUUGUUUAAUUCCACGCUUCUGAGACCUUGAGCAUUUGUGUUUGAGGCAGAGUCAAGAGAGAGGCAGCUCAGCUAAAAAGCACAAGAGGACUGAGUUGAUGAAAAAAAAUAAAAAUAAAAGCAAACCAUCUGAUAAAAGCAUAACUCAGAAACUGGAUAGAAGCCAAGAAAGUGUUGCAGAGUGCUGACUGCAAAGUGAUAGACAGAGGUUUCCAUUUCACACGUUGUCAUUAUAAUCUUGCGGUCCCAGUUCUACAAUGUCAUGACAAAUUCCUCCUACAAAGAGGAAUUAGAAAGGAGUAGAAGAGAAGAAAUAACUACACAGCCCAGAAAAGGAAACAUAGGAAGGGGAGGGGGCAUUUGUUUACAUGUUCAGCUAUUUGCAGCAUAGAGAUUUUCCAUUCACAACCGGAACUCUCAUGCUCCUGAAGGCAAAGACAAAAGGCCAAGAUAAAACCAGAAAGUGUUUUGGAGUAGCUGGAUGAUGUGUUCCAUUUCCAGACAUAAUUGACACAGACUAAAUUUCAAGAGUACAAGUGCCAGGAAACUCACAGAGCUGUCAGACAAUCAGAAGAUCCUCUUGUGACUCACCCUAAUCCUCUGAGAUAGUUGCCUGUCUCUUGAGAAGAGCCAGAGCCCUUCAAUGAAGAGGACGAUGACAUAACAAAUACCUCUGUUGCUCGGCUCUUAGGAGCCUCUAUAUGCUCUAUAUGAAAAAAUUUCAAUUUCAGUCUGUCUACUGAGGCACUAUUGAGAAAAUGCUAUAGCUCAUAAUCCUCCAAAAAAAAAAUAAUUACUGGGAGUCUCACCUUGAAUGGAAGCAAAAGCAUAUUGAACGAGUAGAUGUCACAGAGUGCUGUUAGUAACUGAAAAAUAAAAUCAAUGACAAGGGAAGAGGGGAUGUCUGGAUCUCUGUUUUUUUGUUCCAUAGAGCUAUCCCUGUGCUUCCUUCUAUUCGUAAAACAAAACGUGAAAAAUACAGAGGGACAUAAGAGACAUCAUGGAGAAGCUAAAGGAGAAGACGGCAAAGCAGAUGUCGCAUCUGAGAAGAAUGGAAGAAGUGACCAAAUGGUGGGCAGAAUGAAAAGUAAAUAAAGUCACUGUUCACUUGUGCUCUGAUUUCUGCUUUUCAUCUCUAGCGGUAAGAUGCAGUGUUCGUGUGUGCUUUAUUCCCUAAAAGCACUCCAGAGUCUUCGCUGCUAUACUCUUAAAAAAUGCAUCUUUAAAAAUGACGAUAAUUCACUAAAUACUUACACCAGACUUAAUUUCAUUUCAAGACAUCAACUGAACCGGAAUAGAAAACCUUCAUUUUCAUAGCAAAACUUUGCACCUCAUAAAGGUUUUAUCUGUUGCUAUGGCACAGGUUUUACCCAAAGGAGUUACUUGCAGAAUAGCACAAGAAGGAGGAAUUUUCCAGUUCCUUUCAUAUACACAUUUUC